rnacentral:rRNA from 1 species
GACGUAGGGUCCAAGCGUUGUCCGGAUUUACUGGGCGUAAAGAGCGCGUAGGCGGCUCGUUAAGUGUGAAGUGAAAUCUCCAGGGCUCAACCCGGAAACUGCUUCGCAUACUGGCGAGCUGGAGUGACGAAGAGGUUUGUGGAAUUCCUGGUGUAGCGGUGAAAUGCGUAGAUAUCGGGAGGAACACCAGUGGCGAAGGCGACUACCUGCCUGUUCUUGACGCUGAGGCGCGAAAGCUAGGAGAGCAAACGGGG